CGUCUCAGUUCNGAUUGCAGGCUGCAACUCGCCUGCAUGAAGUCGGAAUUGCUAGUAAUCGCAGAUCAGCAUGCUGCGGUGAAUACGUUCCCGGGCCUUGUACACACCGCCCGUCACACCAUGGGAGUCGGUAACACCCGAAGUCGGUAGCCUAACCGUAAGGAGGGCGCCGCCGAAGGUGGGAUUGAUGACUGGGGUGAAGUCGUAACAAGGUACC
rnacentral:rRNA from 1 species